rnacentral:rRNA from 1 species
UGGGGAAUUGUUCGCAAUGGGCGCAAGCCUGACGACGCAACGCCGCGUGGAGGAUGAAGGUCUUCGGAUUGUAAACUCCUGUUGAUCGGGACGAAAAGCUUCAACCUAAUACGUUGAAGACUGACGGUACCGGUUGAGGAAGCCACGGCUAACUCUGUGCCAGCAGCCGCGGUAAUACAGAGGUGGCAAGCGUUGUUCGGAAUUACUGGGCGUAAAGGGCGCGUAGGCGGCCUCCUAAGUCGGACGUGAAAGCCCCAGGCUUAACCUGGGAACUGCGUCUGAUACUGGGAGGCUUGGAUUCGGGAGAGGGAUGUGGAAUUCCAGGUGUAGCGGUGAAAUGCGUAGAUAUCUGGAGGAACACCGGUGGCGAAGGCGGCAUCCUGGACCGAGAUCGACGCUGAGGCGCGAAAGCUAGGGGAGCAAACGGGAUUAGAUACCCCCGUAGUCCCUGAGCGGGCUGGCAAGGCGCAU